rnacentral:rRNA from 1 species
UACGUAGGUGACAAGCGUUGUCCGGAUUUACUGGGCGUAAAGAGCGCGCAGGCGGUCGUUCAAGUCGAGUGUGAAAGCCCCCGGCUCAACUGGGGAGGGUCAUUCGAUACUGAUCGACUCGAAGGCAGGAGAGGGAAGUGGAAUUCCCGGUGUAGUGGUGAAAUGCGUAGAUAUCGGGAGGAACACCAGUGGCGAAGGCGACUUCCUGUCCUGUUCUUGACGCUGAGGCGCGAAAGCUAGGGGAGCAAACGGG